AUAUUGUGUUUCCAGGCCUGGCAUAAAACCUGUUUCCGCUGCGCUCUGUGUGGUAAAAGCCUGGAGUCGACCACAGUGACGGAUAAGGACGGAGAGCUGUACUGUAAAGUUUGCUAUGCCAAGAACUUCGGCCCAAAAGGAUUCGGUCUGGGCAACGAGGCCAUGUUGGAGGAACGAGAAUAAACUGGCGGUUCUGCUGAAGUUCAAACCCGAUCACAGCGUCUCAAAGCUGGAAGAUGGAGCAGCACAAACCAAACCCUCAGCAACAUUAUGAAAAUUGUAGAGGGAAAAAUGUGUGCAACACUAAAUAAGAGGUUUUGUUACAAUAAAAUUAAUUCUCAAUGAAGUUUAUAACAAAAGCAAUAAAGUUGGUUUGUUAAUG